GUCAAAUCAUCAUGCCCCUUAUGUCCUGGGCUACACACGUACUACAAUGGCGAUUUAACAACGGGUGGCCAAACCGCGAGGUGGAGCUAAUCCCCAAAAAUCGUCCCAGUUCGGAUUGUAGGCUGAAACUCGCCUGCAUGAAGUUGGAAUUGCUAGUAAUCGCGAAUCAGAAUGUCGCGGUGAAUACGUUCCCGGGUCUU
rnacentral:rRNA from 1 species